GUAGGGUGCGAGCGUUAAUCGGAAUUACUGGGCGUAAAGCGUGCGUAGGUGGUUCGUUGUGUCUGUGGUGAAAGCCCCGGGCUUAACCUGGGAAUGGCCAUGGAAACUGGCGAGCUGGAGUCUGGCAGAGGGGGGUGGAAUUCCGCGUGUAGCAGUGAAAUGCGUAGAGAUGCGGAGGAACACCGAUGGCGAAGGCAGCCCCCUGGGCUAAGACUGACGCUGAGGCACGAAAGCGUGGGGAGCAAACAGGAUUAGAUACCCUGGUAGUCCACGCCCUAAACGAUGUCAACUGGGUGUUCGGGAAGCGAUUCCUGGGUACCGUAGCUAACGCGUGAAGUUGACCGCCUGGGGAGUACGGCCGCAAGGUUA
rnacentral:rRNA from 1 species